rnacentral:rRNA from 1 species
AGCGAACGCUGGCGGCAGGCCUAAAACAUGCAAGUCGAACGCCGUAGCAAUACGGAGUGGCAGACGGGUGAGUAACACGUGGGAACGUGCCUUUUGGUUCGGAACAACACAGGGAAACUUGUGCUAAUACCGGAUAAGCCCUUACGGGGAAGAUUAUCGCCAAAGAUCGGCCCGCGUCUGAUUAGCUAGUUGGUGAGGUAACGGCUCACCAAGGCUACGAUCAGUAGCUGGUCNGAGAGGAUGAUCAGCCACACUGGGACUGAGACACGGCCCAGACUCCUACGGGAGGCAGCAGUUAGGAAUCUUGGACAAUGGGCGCAAGCCUGACGCAGCAACGCCGC